rnacentral:rRNA from 1 species
AGUGAACGCUGGCGGUAGGCCUAACACAUGCAAGUCGAACGGCAGCACAGUAAGAGCUUGCUCUUACGGGUGGCGAGUGGCGGACGGGUGAGGAAUACAUCGGAAUCUACUUUUUCGUGGGGGAUAACGUAGGGAAACUUACGCUAAUACCGCAUACGACCUACGGGUGAAAGCAGGGGAUCUUCGGACCUUGCGCGAUUGAAUGAGCCGAUGUCGGAUUAGCUAGUUGGCGGGGUAAAGGCCCACCAAGGCGACGAUCCGUAGCUGGUCUGAGAGGAUGAUCAGCCACACUGGAACUGAGACACGGUCCAGACUCCUACGGUAGGCAGCAGUGGGGAAUAUUGGACAAUGGGCGCAAGCCUGAUCCAGUCAUACCGCGUGGGUGAAGAAGGCCUUCGGGUUGUAAAGCCCUUUUGUUGGUAAAGAAAAGCAGCAGGUUAAUACCACGCUGUUCUGACGGUACCCAAAGAAUAAGCACCGGCUAACUUCGUG